CUAGCUUUAAAUCCAAUUAGGGAGGCGAGGUAGCUAAAUGGCGAAAUUCAACGGCGCUGUCGAGACCUAUCAAAAUCGAAAGAUAAAAUAAUUUCGA